rnacentral:rRNA from 1 species
UACAGAGGUCCCAAGCGUUGUUCGGAUUCACUGGGCGUAAAGGGUGCGUAGGUGGCAGGGUAAGUUUGAUGUGAAAUCUCCGGGCUUAACCCGGAAACUGCAUUGAAUACUAUCCUGCUCGAGGGUUGGAAGGGGGACUGGAAUACUUGGUGUAGCAGUGAAAUGCGUAGAUAUCAAGUGGAACACCAGUGGCGAAGGCGAGUCCCUGGACAACUCCUGACACUGAGGCACGAAAGCUAGGGGAG